rnacentral:lncRNA from 1 species
UCGGCUAUUAGCAAUGAUUUUGUGGAAAAUCUCGGGGAUAUGAGUAUCUGACGAUAUACUGAAUAAAGAAUAUUAGCUGGGAAAUUAAUCAAACAACAUUGAUUAAUUAUUAAUCGAAGCUACCUAUCUAAGCUUAUCCUCUCGUAUGACAUUUAAAAAAAAAAAAUUUAAAAAUCACACACACUAUACAAAUAUACAUAUGUAAUAUGUUUAACCACUAACAGCUCGAUCAUAAUGUCUUAAAAUUGGGAUUUGUCAAAUGCAUCGAUUCUAGGGUUUUGAAAAAAGACAACAAGAAACAUUUGC